rnacentral:rRNA from 1 species
GACGGGGGAUGCAAGCGUUAUCCGGAAUCACUCGGCGUAAAGCGUCUGUAGGUGGUGAUGCAAGUCACUGGUGCAAAACUCUGGCUCAACCGGAGGAAAGCCAGUGAAACUGCAUGACUAGAGUGUGGGAGAGGUAGAAGGAAUUCCCUGAGUAGCGGUGAAAUGCGUAGAUACAGGGAAGAACACCGGAGGCGGAAGCGUUCUACUGGAACCCAACUGACACUGGGAGACGAAAGCUAGGGGAGCGAAUGGG